CAGCCGCCACGGUAAUACAGAGGAUGCAAGCGUUAUCUAGAAUGAUUGGGCGUAAAGGGCUCGCAGGCGGUUUCUUAAGUCUGAUGUGAAAGCCCCCGGCUCAACCGGGGAGGGUCAUUGGAAACUGGGAAACUUGAGUGCAGAAGAGGAGAGUGGAAUUCCACGUGUAGCGGUGAAAUGCGUAGAGAUGUGGAGGAACACCAGUGGCGAAGGCAAUCCCCUGGGCCUGCACUGACGCUCAUGCACGAAAGCGUGGGGAGCAAACAGGAUUAGAUACCCGAGUAGUCCCUGUCUCUUAUAC
rnacentral:rRNA from 1 species